CAGCGGCUCCCAGGAAUGGCUUCGGUGGGCAGCGGCAUGGAGGAGGUGCGCCUGUCGGUACUGACCCCCUUGAAGCUGGUUGGGCUGGUGUGCAUCUUUCUGGCGCUGUGUCUGGACCUGGGGGCGGUGCUGAGCCCGGCUUGGGUCACAGCUGACCACCAGUACUACCGUGUGUGGGAGUCCUGCCGGAAACCCGCCAGCUUGGACAUCUGGCACUGCGAGUCCAUGCUCAGCAGCGAUUGGCAGAUUGCUACUUUGGCUUUACUCCUGGGCGGUGCUGCCAUCAUUCUCAUUGCAUUCUUGGUGGGUUUGAUUUCUAUCUGCGUGGGGUCUUGAAGGCGCGUUUCUAUAGACCUGUUGCGGUCAUGCUUUUUGCAGCAGUUGUUUUACAGGUUUGCAGCCUGGUCCUUUACCCAAUCAAGUUCAUUGAAACUGUGAGCUUGAAAAUGUACCAUGAGUUCAACUGGGGUUAUGGCCUGGCCUGGGGUGCAACUAUAUUUUCGUUUGGGGGUGCCAUCCUUUAUUGCCUGAACCCUAAGAACUAUGAAGACUACUACUAGAACCAAUAGUCUCAAAGUAAAAAUAACCACCACCAUCCAACAAAAGGAUUACGUCUGCAUCUUUUCUAACUUUCUAUUUUCUAAAACACUUGUGGAGCAUCAAGCAGUUUGCUCAGUUGAUUUAAUCUUUUUUGCCUUUUGGCUGUCAACAUCAUAACCAGCUUUUACAUCCAUUUUAGAAAUCUGCACAAAUUAAGAGAGCUGAUUAGACAGGCAAAUGCUGCAAACUUCCAAUAUGUUCAUAUCGUUUUUCUUGACAAAUGAAGGGUCUGUAUGACAGCAACCAUUGUGAGAAACUAGUUGGAAUGAGAUUUGCCUCAGUCUCCUAUUGCCUGCAAGGGAGCAGUUGGCAUAAGCAACAUUUAGAAGUUCCUUUGUGCUGACAAGGAUUCCACUGUUAGAGCCCUUACUGCCUGCUUAUCCUACCCAAUGACUACAUUGGCUGUUGGUUGUUUGCUUGAAUGAGCCCUUGAAAAAUGAACUGCCCUUCAGCAUCUAAUGGGAGUUGUGAAUGUAACUGGUUAAUGGUACACAUUCCACCUUCAAGAAUACUCUUUUUAAUGGGAGGUUAUGCUUUGGCAAUCAGCAUCUCCCUGGGAGGAGAGUCAAGACUUGGAGACAUGUGCUUCUCAUUAUGUGGUUAGAAAUUGGUGCCUCAGCCCUAUCUAGACUGGGGAAAAAUUGAGGAUCUCUGUUUUUCCUGGGGCAAACAGAAAGAAAUCUGCAUGAGUUGCUUUUGUACCCUUUAAAUCAUUUGCCAAACAUUGCAGCAAACAAGUGUGCAUAUGUAACAAGCUUCCAUGUUUUUAUAGAAGGUGAGCCAUUAGUAUAAAUGGUAAUUAGUUGUUCCUUAACCCUCCACAUACAUUGCCUAUUACACAUAAAAUUAAUAUUUACUCUAGUGAAGUGGUUUGAACACUAACCUUGUAUGCAUUGUUAAGAGGCUUAGAUUGUUCAUACUUAUUUACCAUACAAAAGUAUGGUACCUUAAAGCUUUUGCUCUAUGUUCUUUACUGUUUCACUGGAAAGUGUUAAUAGAGUUGCCUAAGAACAAAAAUUGAAAUGGUGUUAAUCUGAAAAUUAAUGAUUCUCUGUAAGCACUGUAGUUGAAAGAAGAAUAGCAAUUAGGAUGAUCAUUUUGUGUAAAAUUCGUUAAAAUAGAAGGCUAUUUUUUUUUGCAAGUAUUUUAAAUGUCUUCAUUUUUUAAAAAAAGGAAUAGCGAUAGAUUUAUAUAAAUAUCUAAAUGUCUCAGUAGAGGAGUAGAAUUCAUCUGGUUAUCACCUGGUCCUCUGAAGUUAAUUGAUGGGCUAACCGAUUUGUGCACACACUUAGGGUGGAUUUAUGUUAAGGGAAUUACUUACUGACUGUUCAAUGGAAGGAAGUAUUAAUAAUAGGGAAUAAGUUUGCAACUAAUCUCAUGCUGCAAACUUGUGUUAAUUCUGUUUCAUAUACAAAUUUGGAUAGCUUAAUUAUAAACAUAUUUUUAUAUCAAAUAUACAGUUCUAAUAUAAAAGUUAUAAAUAAUUAUUUUUGUUAACAAAGACACUAAAACAGUAUGUUCUGGUUUUGGCCCUCUUGCAGAAAGAAACAUUAGAAAAAUUACUUAAAAAGUAGCUAUGUGUUACUGUAUUGCAAAAUCUGUUAAGAGCAGGACCACAUCGAUAGUAUUUAAUAAUUUGUUUUACCUCCCAAAGCACAGUUCUACUUUCAGCUAGUCUUAAGAAUGGUUGCCAAAAACAACAGCCAAAAAAAAA